rnacentral:lncRNA from 1 species
AGCUUAUAUCACAGUCCUUAGUGACCUUAAACCUAAACUCUGAUACCACUUACAUCACCAUCCUUAGUGGUCAUAAUCUAAGCUUUAAUAUCCUUCUGCCAUACUCCAUUGAUUAUAAUCCAAAGUUUUAAUAUAGCUUAUAUCACAGUCCCUAGUGACCUUAAAUCUAAGCUCUGAUACCACUUUAUCAUGCUCCAAAUCCGGCA